UCCGAAGUGUGAACUGUGAGCCUGUGACAGCCUGUGACUCGUGAUAGAGACGCACCAUCGCAUCCACACCCACUUGUCUGAUCCCUCAAGCCUCCAUCAUCCUGUUAUCACCAGAGGAAGAAGAGUACAUUGCUCAUGAAUCGUUCUGGGAGGCUGUACUAGGAGUGCACCCAAGUCAUUGGACCGGGAAUACUGACAAGGUUUCAGAGUCCUUCAGAGCCUUGCUUGAUGAGGCUUUGAAGAAUAGUGCCAAAUAUCAAAAGGAUAUCGAGGACUACUAUGACAGAAUCGAUGAGUUGAAUGAUACCUUCAAGGAGCACUUUAGUUAUGUCAUCAUUAGGCCUCGUUGUCCUUCCCCUAGGUGCUUUCAUUUGUGGCAUAGGCAAUUCCGAAUGACAAACACUAACCCUAGUAAUGCCUUCUAAUGUUAAGUUUUUUCGUUCCACUUUUCUAAACUAUAUCAGUUUGAUCCUCAUGAAUCUACUUUUGCUAAUAUUAGCUUCUUUGGGGAGCAAGUGCUUCACCGAACCUUGUGCAUAUGAAUAUGUAUCGUCAGAUCUUCAAUUCUUUUCAAUGAAGUUUGCCGGUGAUUUCUCUCACGGUGAGAAGAUGACCAUUUAUGGUUUCGUCGCAGUGCGGGAUGAUAUUGAUCAUCUGCGGAAUUAUAUAUUUUACCGAUCAUCGGAUCAUGCCCAAGAGAUUACUCCGGAUGCACCUGAUCUAUUGUUGAUCCCUCCAGCUCGAGGGAUAUCGGCCCCUUUUAAUGUCAUUGUUGAAUACUGUCUCAAGGUUAAAAACAAUGGUGUUUGGAGGAUGGUGUGCUCGUGAAUGGUCGCUUUGAUUUCAAGCAGUCACCAAUGGCUCCGAAAGUCCAGCUGCACAAAGUGCGUCUGUUUGGCCCUCUUGGACCGCUUGACAUCCGCUUUGCUCUUCUCAGAUUUGCUGUGGAGGCGACCAUAGAUGUCAAAGUCAAGAGGGCCAUGGCAGGCUACAGCCUUAGUACGGUUACGGCAUAUACUUGUGGACUCUUGGAUGAGACGGUGCUAUACAACGCGUAUGCAUCUUCAGUACCCUCCUCAGAGGAGGGGAAGAAAGAUGUCAGGUUUGCUGUGGUGGCUUGUCAUCGUCCAUGGUAGCUGUAGCAUCUGCAGUGGUGGCCGUGGAACUAGGUUGUGAAUUGAAGCUAUUUGAGAUAGCAUCGGAAAAACUUGGGUGUGGGCUUGGUAGGCAUGUCAGGAAGAGCACCCAUGAGCUCCGCUUCACCGCCCAGAAGCACAAGUGUAGCAAGGGGGCAAUUGUGAUGGGCGGGAUGUUUAAGUUGGCAUCAGAAUGGUCCGUGCUCCUUUUAAACAAAGAGAACCUUGCAUCAUGACUCAUGGAGUAGAGAUGGCUAUGUUCAUACUAGUUGCUUAA